GGAGGUUUUACNUAAUUAAAGUGUUUGAGUNGCAUUCAGAGAUGUAUAAUAAAAUUAUACACCUUC
rnacentral:tRNA from 1 species